rnacentral:rRNA from 1 species
GAUGAACGCUGGCGGCGUGCCUAAUACAUGCAAGUCGAGCGAACAGACGAGGAGCUUGCUCCUCUGACGUUAGCGGCGGACGGGUGAGUAACACGUGGAUAACCUACCUAUAAGACUGGGAUAACUUCGGGAAACCGGAGCUAAUACCGGAUAAUAUAUUGAACCGCAUGGUUCAAUAGUGAAAGACGGUUUUGCUGUCACUUAUAGAUGGAUCCGCGCCGCAUUAGCUAGUUGGUAAGGUAACGGCUUACCAAGGCAACGAUGCGUAGCCGACCUGAGAGGGUGAUCGGCGACACUGGAACUGAGACACGGUCCAGACUCCUACGGGAGGCAGCAGUAGGGAAGCGUCCGCAAUGGGCGAAAGCCUGACGGAGCAACGCCGCGUGAGUGAUGAAGGUCUUCGGAUCGUAAAACUCUGUUAUUAGGGAAGAACAAAUGUGUAAGUAACUAUGCACGUCUUGACGGUACCUAAUCAGAAAGCCACGGCUAACUACGUG